GCCAGGCAUGGUGGUGUGUGCCUGUAGUUCUAGCUACUCGGGAGGCUGAGGCAGGAGGAUGGCUUGAGCCCAGGAGUUCAAGGCUGCAGUGAGCUAUGAUGGUGCCACUGCAUUCUAGCCUGGGCAAUAGAGUGAGACUCUGUUCUCU
rfam:Homo sapiens chromosome 7, GRCh38 reference primary assembly.